rnacentral:rRNA from 1 species
UACAGAGGUCUCAAGCGUUUGUUCGGAUUCAUUGGGCGUAAAGGGUGUGUAGGUGGCGCCGUAAGUCGGGUGUGAAAUUUCGGAGCUUAACUCCGAAACUGCAUUCGAUACUGCGGUGCUUGAGGACUGGAGAGGAGACUGGAAUUCAUGGUGUAGCAGUGAAAAUGCGUAGAGAUCAUGAGGGAAGACCAGUGGCGAAGGCGGGUCUCUGGACAGUUCCUGACACUGAGACACGAAGGCCAGGGGGAGCAAAACGGGG